rnacentral:misc_RNA from 1 species
GUGAAUCAUCGAAUCUUUGAACGCAAAUUGCACUCUCUGGCAUUCCGGAGAGUAUGCCUGUUUGAGGAUCAGUUUAAAUAAAAAUCGAGGCGUUGCUGUUUUUUGACCCAUCGGAAUGGGGGUAGCUUUUACCUUUUAAGAAGUUUAAGUGACCUAAAAUUGGUACCUUGUGCAUCUCAGACGUACGUAAGUAUAUUUUUUUAUACGUCCGGAAUUGCCACCUUUUUAUUAGGUAUGACCAUGCGGU